rnacentral:rRNA from 1 species
UACAGAGGUCCCAAGCGUUGUUCGGAUUCACUGGGCGUAAAGGGUGCGUAGGUGGCGGGGUAAGUUUGAUGUGAAAUCUCCGGGCUUAACCCGGAAACUGCAUUGAAUACUAUUCUGCUCGAGGUUUGGAGGGGGGACUGGAAUUCUCGGUGUAGCAGUGAAAUGCGUAGAUAUCGAGAGGAACACCAGUGGCGAAGGCGAGUCCCUGGACAACACCUGACACUGAGGCACGAAAGCUAGGGGAGCAAACAGG